UCCUUAUAAAUUAGCAAUUAAUUAUUUUAGGAUAUACACGGAACAAAGUAUAUCCUUAGUAUUUGCAAAUUUCUAUAUUCAAGGAAGAGAGUAUUUUGGACAUGAGAGAAACACCUCACUUACUCUUAUUAUAGAGACUCCUGCCAUGCUUUGGGUUGGCUAGCUGAAAUACAACCUCAAGUUUCAGUCUUUAGCAGCUCUUGGAUUGGCAAAAAUGGCUAGCCUUGGCAAGUUUCUCUUUCUUCAACUUGUUCCACCCUCCCUUUGAUCCCCUAACAAAACCCCCAAAAGAAUUAAGUCACUAAAAAUCUUAACUUUUAAAUGUCAUUUUCCCAAGUAUUAUGUGUAAGAAAACUGGUUAUAAAGCAACCUAAUACAAUUAAGUAUUAUUUGUUAAGAUAAUGUUCUCUUCAAAGCAUGCAAGUGGUAAUAACAUUCUACUAUUUUAGUGUCCAUGUACCAGUUUUUACACGCAUACACCUAAACAGAGAACUAAGAUACAAGAGAAAAUUAAAGGGGCUCCUUUCCCUUUAACAUAAUUUCAAUAUAUAUUUUUUAUAAGUCCUUUAAAAUUUUAGUAAAUAUACAGAAAUAGUCAAAUGGGCUAAAAUAUGCAGGCUAUGGCAGUUGUCCAUCUUUUGGGAUAUUUCAAAUAGCAAGACCUUUCCUUCUAAUCCUUUUAAUUAAGCUAAUAGAAAAAUUCCAUCUUACUCUAUCACAUUCAACAGUCUCCCUCAAGGCCUGACUUCAUUAGAAAUAGAUGACAUUUUUAACCAUAUGCCAUAAUCCCAAUCCUUCCAAAUAAUCCCUAGGAUUUGUUAUCCUUUUCACGAAAGAAAAUAACACAAUGAAUUCGAUGAAAACAAUGUAUAGGCAAUUAAAAUAUGCGUUUAUUCAUAGAAAAUAAAUUUAAAAUGGUUGUAGUCUCAAUCACAGACAAAAUUAAGCAUGGUAAUCAUCGUUGUACUGUUCGAAAGGCUUUUCACCCUGCUACCAUUUCCUGUCUUAUAUGGGGAUAAUAAUCUCUUAGACUUUCGUGCCAUUGGAUAGAGAGUCCCUCUACAUGUUGCGACGAAAAAUAUGUCUGACUCUGGACACAUACCUGGGCAAUUAAAUGUCUACUCGCAACAAAAGUCGACAUAUUUUUUCUCGCAAUAUAAAUAUUUUCCAUAGGACAGAUUCUAAUAAAAUGUGAAUCGGUAUUGGUAAAUGAUUAGCUCAAUAAAUAAUUCAACAAUGAUAAACCAAAACUUAUAUUUGAAACCAAUCUUUUUAUAAGAUUUUAGAUUAGGUAACAAUCAGGUAGCGAGUUACAAUGAAGUUGGUAGGGUAAGGAUGCAUUAUGAUGGAGUUUAGAAUCUGUAAUCUUGACUUGGAUUCCCCAGCAGGCCGGAAGAGUUUAUCUGUCUAGUUGGUUUUUAGACUGAAAAUUUUAUGACUUUCACUAUGUAUAUGUUCCAAAAAUAUUGGGCUUUCCUCUAAAUUUGUUGAAAACAAGGUGCACAAUAUUAGGUAACACACAAGGAAAUCAACUAAUAGUAGUUAGAUUAGUAAUUAACAAUAAAAGAGAAGUAUUUUAAGCAUAUAGACUAUAUAGCAAUUUGUUUCCAUACAAGUUCAGCUUGUAUAUCCAUUUUUUCAACAAAUUCUACAUAAAUACCAGGGAUUCACAUUGUUUUAAGAAAAACAUAAACAACCAAAAUCAAAACAAAACAAAAAACAGAGCUUGUAGUGUAAUAUCGACCUAUCCGUAUAAAGUCGUUCAAUAGAUGCAAAUAUAUAUAUAUAUAUAUAUAUAUAUAUAUUUGAAUUCUUGGUAGCAGCUAGAUAUAAAUAAAUCAGCUCAGUCUGUUGGGAUCAUGUCUAGAGGUGCACUAACUUCAUGUCCUAAUGUACAUAAUUUAAGCAUUUCAUUUAAAAUCACUUGCCACACAACAAAACUCUGGAAGAUUUGAUGAUUCCCAUAAUACUCCACUAAUGCAGAAAUAGAAUACAAAUAUUCAGAUUCACUAACGCAUAAUUCUGACACCAGUGAAGUUAGAAGCAAAAACCCAAGGGUUGUUCAGAUAUGAACAACAUUCUUUAUUACCAAUACUCUAACCAAUUGCCAAUCACCAAUCAAAAACACUUGUACUAUCAUAAGGUUAGAUGAUGGUUUUUAGUUAUGAAGUUAAAUAUUCUUACCGCCGUACACAAGAUUCAAUCAGGAGAAAGUAUAUCUUGCUCUAUUCGUUUAGAACAAUAAAUAAAACACGUCAUAACAAACAGACGUCUAGACAAAUUAUUGCACUAACUAUAAACAGACAUCUAAAUAAAUUAUUGCAUUAACGUUAAGAAGAAAGACAUAAAUAUCAAAUGUUCAAAUAAGGAAAAAUAAUUCAGCAGCAAAUUCCAGGUAUUUGUAUUGGCUCUUUUAUGUCAUUCACAAUGACAUGUGUGCCCCUCCAUAAACCUUGGCUUGGAUAAAACAAUGACACAGCAUGAAUAGAUCUGAGAGAAGCAUCUUCAUGUGCUAUUUCUCUUUCAUUUUCAAAGAUUAGAUUAAGUCGAUAUGACCAUGGCCUGAUAAAGGACAAGUCCUUUAAUUAAUAAGACUAAAACACAUAUUAUACUCAAGUAAUAUGUCCUUUAAUUAAUAAGACUAAAACACAUUAUAUUUUAGUAAUAUUCUAAUAUUCUCACUAUGAUCUAAUGCUUCUAAGCAUGCAAGAGAUUAUUUUCACAUGAUCACAUUAGCCUUCGGAUGAUAUAUAACCAUCAUCGUCAGAAACUUAAUUUAGUUAACUAAUAUUACUAGGCGGUCAUUAUUAGUAAAAAGAGAAGAUUUCAUUCAACUACUUUUAAAAGUGAACAGUUACAAAUAAGUCUCAUUAGAUCAAUAGUAUUUAAUUAUUAUUAGAAAAUAUAUUUCGACUAAUAAACGUGUUAUGCUCUACACUACCAGCCACUUCAAUGUGAACCCAGAAAGUUUCUUCCUUGUUUCCUGCAAUGAAUGUCACAACUGGAUUUUAUUUUUGCUGUUGUCAAAAUGAUCUCAAAAGUAACUUAUAUUUUUGUUCCCAGAGGCCAGAACUUUUACAGAAAAUAAAAGAUAAUCUUUUAGAAUUACUUUGCGGUCAUUUUCUUUUAAAUGUAAAACCCAAUUGUGACAUUCAUUGUAGAACAAGGUGGUAUUUCACAAUUUUCUCCUAAAACAAUAUUUUAAGAAGAAAAAGUUUUACCAAAGUAUAUUAGUAGAGCAUAAUAUGUAUUUCNNNNNNNNNNNNNNNNNNNNNNNNNNNNNNNNNNNNNNNNNNNNNNNNNNNNNNNNNNNNNNNNNNNNNNNNNNNNNNNNNNNNNNNNNNNNNNNNNNNNAAAUGAGCUCCCCACCUUAUAAUGCCUCCAACACUGUUUUAGCAAGAAUACACCUACUGUGCUCAAUAUAACCAGCGCUCCUCCCUUAUAGUCCUUCCCCUUCUCUUCCAAUCAUCUCCUUUCACCCAAAGGAGACAAUUUGACCAUGGAGAUAGAACAAAUUUCCAGUUGUCAUUACCCCCCAGGUUUCAGAUUCCACCCCUCAGAUGAAGAGCUGAUCGUUCACUACUUGCUGAAAAAACUCAGUUCGUGUCCGCUGCCAGCCGAUGUAGUUGCUGAAAUAGAACUUUACAACUACAACCCAUGGGAGCUUCCCAGUUAGUUAUCUAUUAUCUAUAAGCUUAUUUAGAUGGUAUUACUUUUAUUUUCUUCCUCUUAUGAUUAUUAUUAUUUCUGAAUUUCAGACAAGUCAUUGUUCGGAGAAGAUGAGUGGUAUUUCUUCACCCCGAGGGACCGAAAGUACCCGAAUGGAGAGAGGCCUAAUAGGACAGCAGCUUCAGGUUAUUGGAAGGCAACUGGGACAGACAAGCCUAUACUUAGUGCUUCUGGAUCAAGAAGCAUUGGAGUGAAGAAGGCUCUCGUUUUUUACAAGGGUCGUCCUCCGAAGGGCUUAAAGACGGAUUGGAUCAUGACAGAGUACAGAUUGCCUGACACCAUGACUCGAUCAGCGAGGUCAAAAGGGUCCAUGAGGGUAAGUAUGUGCCUUGAUGUUUGUUCAUUAUAAACUGUUUCUCAUUAAGAGGAACAGAAAGUAAAGAUUUUUUUUAGGCUAACUAAAUAACUUGUGUUAUUGGAACACAGAUCAUUCCUGAAACAAAUGUUUCUUCUAUAUCGAAACAUGUUAAACCAACUCAACAAUAUAAGAUUUGUCAAUGAACCUAGUUAUACUGAAGGCACUAUGUGAAUAGAAUAAACUUUUGAUCAGUAUGUUCUUGUUUUUUAUAAUCUUUCAACCCCAUAUGAUGCUCCCUCAAUUGUUUUCGACAAACGCUGUAUCAUCAUUGAAGAUUUGAAAAUUAUCUUCUACUUGUUUUUGUGCAACAAAAGUUUACACAUCUACAUAGGUUAACAGAUAAUAUAUAUGAUCUGCAACAAAAGUUACUUCUAUAUCGAAUCAUGUUAGACCAACUCAACAACAUAAGAUUUGUCAAUUAACCUAGUUAUACUGAAGGCACUAUGUGAAUAGAAUAAGCUUUUGAUCAAUAUGUUCUUGUUUUAAUCUUUCAACCCCAUAUGAUGCUCCCUCAAUCGUUUUCAACAAACACCGUAUCAUCAUUGAAGAUUUGAAAAUUAUCUUCUACUUGUUUUUGUGCAACAAAAGUUUACACAUCUACAUAGGUUAACAAAUAAUAUAUCCUGCCAUGGAGAAUGAAAAACACUUGAACCAUAUAUCUAUUUAGGGUUAAUCUAGAUUCUAGGGUGCCACCCUUCUCACCUCCCUUGAAGCUGUGAAACGUCACUAGUUCACAAACCAACGAUCUCACCAAUUGAACAAAAAGAUAAUCAGAUGCCAAAAUAAUACUCCCUUGGUCCAGAAUACAGAUAUGAGAGUCUCACUUGACUUUACUUCUUUUUAUGGAUAUUUAGGUUGCCUAGAACACACUUGGACAUGAUUUUCUUGGAAUGUUUUCUAUAUAUGUAUAUAUUAAAUUUGAAGAUUAGAAAGGGAAAAAAUAUAUGAAAUGGGAACUAAUUUCCGGAGGAAGUAUAGCACAUGAUAAUCACUUCCCCUCAUAGAGGAAGUAAACUGAUUAUACCUUCCCCAAAGCCGGAGACUUGCAACCUCCUAAAAGUCUGUACUUCAAGUCUUCAACUAAGUUUCACAAGAAGAAGAUUAUGUCAUCAUGUAUCCCCCUAAAGUAAUCAAUUGAUAAGAUCAAUCUUGACUACUAACAUCUGCAUCAUCAUCUUCUUCUUCAACAUCACACUAAUUAUUAAGCACUAAACAUAAAAUAACUGAUUCCAAUAAAGUAAUCGAUCAAUAAAAUCAAUCUUGAUUCCUAAAUAAUUCUCUGUUUGUUUGGCGCAGUUAGACAAUUGGGUACUUUGUCGCAUACGUCAAAAAGGCAACAUGUCAAAGAAUAAUUGGGCAGGCGAUGAAAGCCCCAGCAGAUCGGUAAAUUUUUUACCAAAAAUCGAGGAGCUCCCUUCAGCAUACACUAAAACCAACACAGAGAUCAUGUCAAAGAAUAAUUGGGCAGGCGAUCAAAGCCCCAGCAGAUCAGUAAUUUUUUUACCAAAAAUCGAGGAGCUCCCUUCAGCAUACACAAAAUCCAACACAGAGAUCACUACAGAUUACCUAUUGAAGGAUUGCCAUAUAUUGGCAUCCGUGCUAGCUUGUCAAGAUCUUCCUCCAAUCGAAAACAUUUCCAAUGCAACCUUUCCACGAAGAAACUACAGCAACAACUCAGGGUCAGGUCUUUAUGAUCAUACUUCAGGCAAGGAGAAUUCUUUCAUGACAAGUUCUUUCUAUGAGAGUUUCUUCAACCCAACCAAGGCAAGACUUAACGAGGGAAAUAGGUUUGAUAAUCUCAUUGGUUCUAAUAAGAUGGUGACAGAUAUAAACAGAAAUGAGGUUCUAAUCCCAGGAAACAUGAUGACCACUACUGCAAUGAACUUCUAUAAUCAAAAUCAGGCUCAAGGAAACAUAUUUAAUCCUACUCAAUCGGAUGUCAUCAUGAAUUUAAUCCUGUCUCGAGAAGAUUUCUGAACCAAUGGAACAACCUCUUAAAGAAGACUUGGCUUCACAAUAGAGCAGGCAAGACAUCCAAGUUGAAGUGUGUUUAAGAUACUUUUUAAGACGUGCAGAAAUGGUUCUUGCUCCACCAGACUUAAAACCACUAAUAUUCUGCAUUACAUUUACUUUUGUCAUCCUUUAAAGUCGCUUGAUGUUUCAUGAAUCCUUACAUUCUUGUUUUAUGUGUGAGAACUUAUAUCUAUGAAUAAUGUCUUAUAUUGUGUGCUAAAUUAAGUUUGCAACUCUGAAAUUUUGAGAACAAAUGUUUCUGCACCCAGUAAUGAGUAAUAACAUCUGAAAGUCUAUUCCAUGUUCUUUUCAAUCAUGUAAAUUUCCUUCCUGAAUAUAUGUUUCAUAUCCCUAACAUUUAUAGGUUAGUGAGAGGAACUCUGUCAGUCACUAGUUCACUACUCUAGUGAUACCUAAACACGCCAAAUGUAUGGUAAAGUAAACCAGAAGUAGUCAAGUAGAGAAGCCACUCCCAAUUUUUGCGGGAUGACAAACCCGAGAAAACCACUACAAAAACAAGUUUGUACUAAAUACAUAGACUACUACAAUUCCCUGUAAACGCAAGAAGCCCAUCGUGUGUUUUAACCAGUUGUUAAAGAACAAAUUAGGAUAAGGACAACACACAUAGUAAAAUCAGUUCAAGCCUAAGAGAUUUAUUUGUCCAUUGUCAUUGCCUAUAAAACACCAAAUAAUUGAUUUUAUUUUCAAAUAUUAUAUUUUAUGUUCAUAAAUUUAUUGAUUAUGACUUUCUCAUAAAAUAAAUUUUCUUACUUUCAUACUAAUACUGAAAGGGCAAAUCACAAAACUAUAUCCUCCGGUAUAAACUCAGCCAUCUGCAUCCCUAGGCCUUAAGAUUUAAAUAGGCAAAACAGUAAAUAAAAGAAUAAUCUAACAAUAUUAAACAAAUAUUUCAGCUAUAAGUAUUUUAAUCCUUCCAUGAUUACUAAGGCUGUAAACGAGUCAAACAGUUCGAGUUCGAUUCGGGCUCGACUCGAAAAAAUACGAGCGAGACUCGAAUUUGUUAAUAAUAUGAUCCAAAUUUGUGCAUUAAAAAUAGUUCGAAUAAAAAUAUGAGUAGAAUCUGAGCAAGGUACUCGACUCGUUUAAUAUUCAAACUACUCGAAUUCUUGACAUACUGGGUUAAUACAUAUUCGAUUAGAUGUUCGAUACAUCUCUUAUAAUAUAUACAAAUUUAAAUCAAAUUAGGAUAAUUAGAUAUUAUUUUGUUUUGUUUUUAAUUUUAAUUGUGAUUUUAUAUUUGUAAAAGUGUUAUAAUAAAUAUAUUUUCUCAUUUCUAAGUACAAUAACAAAUUCAAUUUAUAAUUAUAUUUAUUAUAAAACUAGUUAUUAUGUGGAGACUGGAGAGAGCUCGCGAGUAAUUUAAAUAAAUAUUCGAGUCGAGUCGAAUCUGAAUAGGAAUUUUUCAAAUAUAAUUCAUUCGAAUUCGAGCCGAAUUCGAGUACAAAUUUAUCCUUUCGUGUUGAAUUCGAGUAGCUAUCUCUCAUUUACACCCUUAAUGAUUACUACUCAAUAAAUUAUUAAAAGCAUAACAUAACUCCAAUUUCCAUAGUAAACUCAGCUAAUUGUCGGUAUUACUAAAAAAAUCAACAUAUUUUAGGGGGGUGUAUUCAAUUAGGAUUUUUAAAGACUUUUAAAGAUUUUAAAAGUUUGGGUGUAUUCAAUCAAGACAUUUAAAGAGUUUAUAAAAGUUUAGUGGUAUUCAAUUACAACUUUUUUAAUAUCUUUAAAAGUUAGGUGGUAUUGAAUUAAGAUUUUUAUAAAGUCUAUAAAAGUAUUUUGGUAUUCAAAAAGUCAUAGAUUUUAAAGAUUUCUAUCAAAUAGUAGAGUUUGACAGACUUUAGAAGAAGAAUUAUAACUAUCAAUCCAUAUCCAAAGUCUUGCCUCAUCUCUAAAGAUUUCUAAAGACUUCCAAAUAAACACAAAGGUGGAUAAAACUAGUUAUUAAUUGGACUAUCUUUUAUUGGGUCAAAUUAGUUAUUUAUUUUAUAUGGGCUAAUAAAUAUUAAUAUGUGAUGGAUAAAUGAUUUGGUAAAAUUUGGGCCAUAAAAAUAAUUAGAUUUAUUAUAAUAAUAGAAUUAACAAGAUAUAUUAAUAAGUAAACAAAUAAACCUAAUCUGAAUUGGUGAGAGAAAAAGUAGCUGUUCGAAAGCUUCCAAUAGAAAGAGGAAAGAGAUUUGUUCAACAAAGGUGAGAUAAAAUCAUGAAACUCUCAUAUCAAUUGUACAGAUUAUGUAUGUAUAAUAUAUGAAAAUAGAAAAUAUAUGAUGUGUAUGUGUUACUGUUAAUAUAUGAUUAUGUAUGUAUAAUAUAUGAAAUUACUGUUAAUUUUUGAAAAUAUAUGAAAAUAUAUGAUUAUGAUUAUGUAUGUAUAAUAUAUGAAACUAUAUGAAAAUAUAUGAUUAUGUACGAAAAUAUAUGAUUAUGUAUGAUUAUGAUUAUGUAUAAUUAUGAUUAUGUGUUACAGUUAAUAUAUGAAAAUAUAUGAUUAUGUAUGUAUAAAAUAUGAUUAUGUAUGUACAAUUCCGUGAAUUGAAUUUCAAUAUUAACAAGAUAAAUAAUAAAUUAUGAGUAUUUUGAGAAGAUAGUUUUUCUUAAUCUUAGUUCAUUUGAAUUUAAUAUAAUUAUUUAAUAUCAAGUAUAUCACAUUUUAAUUAAUUUAUUUACCCUGUAAGUCUUCUUGAUGUUAUUCAACAAUCUUAAUUGAUAUAACAUGAAAUUCAGUAUUUAUGUGCUUAUUAUUAACCACUUUGUGCUGAAUUAUGUAGCCCUUAUGUUUCAACUCUAACUGGAUGUUUAGCCAUGCAUUCACUUUACGUAAAUUCUUCCCUUUGUUGUAUUUUUGUGUGAAGCUAUUAUACAAAAUUUAUAAACUAAUGAAUGUCAAUGUAACAUGUGACAUUUUGGCCUACUUACUACAUAAUAUAUGAUUAUGUAGUACAUAUAUGAUUAUAUGAUUAUAUGUAGUACCAAGUAUGUAUAAUAUAUGAUUAUGAUUAUGUGUUUAGACUAAUAAAUUACUAAAGGAAAUACUAAGAUAGAUGUGUAUAUAUGACAUAGUAAUUACAAAUGAGAGAUUCUCAACAAGGAAAUAACAAAGGAAAAGGAAAAGGAAAAAAUGUUAGAAUUUAUAAUUCGUGGACAUUAGAAGAGAGCAAUGAGUUGCUACAACUCAUGGUUGAUGUUGCAGUUCGUGGAUGGCGUGAUAGUAAUGGAAUGCUAAGUAAGCAAAUAGUUGAGAAAAAGAUACAUCCUGCUCUUAAUCAAAAACUUGGCUGCCAAAGAACAUACUCACAGUACCUAAAAAGCGUACGCAUAUGCAUAAAGUAUAUAUAGCUCAAUAAAAAUUGAGCUUAAUUUUUGUAUUGCGUCUGUAGUUUCUAAAGUUUUAUUGGUAUCCAAGUAUCCAAAUGUAUUAUGAAAUGAGUAGAAUAAUAUGAACGCUUUCAACAUAUAUAAAAUCUCAUGCCACAAUAAUAUAAUGAGAUUUACUCUAGUUCAUGAAAAAAGAGAGAUACGUUGUACACAUGGGCUAAUUAACAAUUAAUAUAAGUUGCAAGAUAUAUUAGAAGUAUACAAAAGUCUAUCAUAGUCUUGAUAAAAAGUUUAUAAAAGUCUGUUACUUAUUUCAUAUAGUUUAUAAAAGUCAUUUUAAAAGAGUCUUUCUUUAAAGUCUUUGAAAAUCAUUAAAAUCCCACAAAUUCUACAAAAGUAAGUAACUUAAAAAAAAUCUUUAAAAAUCUUAAUUGAAUACACCCCUUUAAUCACCCUGCAACUAAAAUUUACCUGAGCUUUCAUUCUCCGUUCAAUCCACCAUUUUCGGCAAAAAUGAUCCCAAAUUCAUUUCAAAACCACCGGAAUUUCUUCUCCGAUUCGUUUUCUCCGUUGAUGUCAAGUCUUUCGCUUAUUAUUCACAUUUCUUUUCCUUUUUCGUUGAUUCUUCAGGGUUUGUUCGUCUUGAAUCAUCUUCACUUAAGCUCCGAUUGUUCAUUCCUAUCAUUCACCGAUAACAGAAGUACGAUUGCUUAAGUACAACGUUGGAUCUAAUUUUCCUCUCCUCUCUCAUUUUGUUUCUUAUUUUGUUAAAUAUUUCUUCCAAAUUUAG
rnacentral:lncRNA from 1 species